rnacentral:lncRNA from 1 species
AAAAUAAUUUUUCUUGAAACUACUGCAUAAUACAACAAUAAGAAGAUUAAAUUAUUACUUAUACAUCAUUAAUACACUUCUUCCUAAAUGCAAAUUUGUACCCGAUGGUACCGUCACUUAGCCAUCAUGAUACAAAUCUACACUAAAGAGAAUUAGAUAUAUUAUUUACAUAUUCAAUUCAAUGUACAUUUUCGUUUUAAAGUGCUUUUAAUUAACAUUCAUCAUAUGAUAGAACAUUCAAAACAUGUUUCACUUAAUCACCAACAAAAUAUCUUGCAACAUUUGUUUCUUCACGAGGUGAACUAUUUAUGGACUUUUUGUAUAUCAUCAUAUUCUUCAGCAGUUUCUUUGAUUGUCUCCAAAGUAGGAGAAUUUGAAGGUUUUGUUGGGAAAAUUAUGGCUGGAGGAGCAACCUCCAUCCAAGAAUUUAGAUUUCUUAUUCCUUUUCUCAUUGAUGGUGAUAUUAUUAAUUGUUGAAUAUAAAAUCUUUAUAAUAGAAUAAUAAAUUUAGUUAAUUUCUCUCCUCCUCCUAUAUCUAGAAAGAAGAGAGUCUUUUGAAAUUUUUUGAGGAUUAAGAUGGGUUUGAAC